rnacentral:rRNA from 1 species
UACGUAGGGUGCAAGCGUUUGUCCGGAAUUAUUGGGCGUAAAGAGCUCGUAGGCGGUUUGUCGCGUCGGCUGUGAAAACUCGGGGCUCAACCCCGAGCCUGCAGUCGAUACGGGCAGACUAGAGUGCUGUAGGGGAGACUGGAAUUCCUGGUGUAGCGGUGAAAUGCGCAGAUAUCAGGAGGAACACCGGUGGCGAAGGCGGGUCUCUGGGCAGUAACUGACGCUGAGGAGCGAAAGCGUGGGAGCGAACAGG